rnacentral:tRNA from 1 species
CAAGAUAUAGCUUAAUUUACCCAAAGCACCCGGCUUACACCCGGAUGAUUUCUAAACAUUAGAAUAUCUUGA